rnacentral:rRNA from 1 species
GUGUCAGCCGCCGCGGUAAUACGAAGGGGGCUAGCGUUGUUCGGAAUUACUGGGCGUAAAGCGCGCGCAGGUGGUUUCUCAAGUCAGUGGUGAAAGCCCGGAGCUCAACUCCGGAACUGCCAUUGAAACUGUGGAACUCGAGGACGAGAGAGGUGAGUGGAAUUCCCAGUGUAGAGGUGAAAUUCGUAGAUAUUGGGAAGAACACCGGUGGCGAAGGCGGCUCACUGGCUCGUAUCUGACACUCAAGCGCGACAGCGUGGGGAUCAAACAGGAUUAGAUACCCUGGUAGUCCACGCCGUAAACGAUGAUUGCUAGCCGUUGGCCAGCUUGCUGGUCAGUGGCGCAGCUAACGCAUUAAGCAAUCCGCCUGGGGAGUACGGCCGCAAGGUUGAA